CAGGAUGGACCCGCGUCUGAUUAGCUAGUUGGUAAGGUAACGGCUUACCAAGGCGACGAUCAGUAGCCGACCUGAGAGGGUGAUCGGCCACAUUGGAACUGAGACACGGUCCAAACUCCUACGGGAGGCAGCAGUGGGGAAUAUUGCACAAUGGGCGAAAGCCUGAUGCAGCAACGCCGCGUGAGUGAUGAAGGCCUUCGGGUCGUAAAACUCUGUCCUCAAGGAAGAUAAUGACGGUACUUGAGGAGGAAGCCCCGGCUAACUACGUGCCAGCAGCCGCGGUAAUACGUAGGGGGCUAGCGUUAUCCGGAUUUACUGGGCGUAAAGGGUGCGUAGGCGGUCUUUCAAGUCAGGAGUGAAAGGCUACGGCUCAACCGUAGUAAGCUCUUGAAACUGGGAGACUUGAGUGCAGGAGAGGAGAGUGGAAUUCCUAGUGUAGCGGUGAAAUGCGUAGAUAUUAGGAGGAACACCAGUUGCGAAGGCGGCUCUCUGGACUGUAACUGACGCUGAGGCACGAAAGCGUGGGGAGC
rnacentral:rRNA from 1 species